rnacentral:rRNA from 1 species
AACGAACGCUGGCGGCAGGCUUUAUACAUGCAAGUCGAGCGCUCUCUUCGGAGGGAGCGGCGGACGGGUGAGUAACGCGUGGGAAUAUACCCUUCACUAUGGAAUAGCCUCGGGAAACUGAGAGUAAUACCAUAUACGCCCUUCGGGGGAAAGAUUUAUCGGUGAAGGAUUAGCCCGCGUUAGAUUAGAUAGUUGGUGGGGUAAUGGCCUACCAAGUCUACGAUCUAUAGCUGGUUUGAGAGGAUGAUCAGCCACACUGGGACUGAGACACGGCCCAG